rnacentral:lncRNA from 1 species
UUUCGCACGCAUUGCAUGAGUCUGGUUUUGCAACAAUUGAAUCAGCCGAAUUAUUGUUCUUCCAUUCACAUGAAUUGCUCAUGCCUAUAACGUCUAAUGGCUCUUCAAGGUCCAUGCCCAUCCCUCUGUCCAUCUCGCCCUGCAACGCAAGCCUCUAUCUCGCCCCAUGAAAGUUCAACCAAAAGCCCAUCAAAGCAAGGCUGUUUCCUUUCUCUCUUCUAUGUCAGCUCAAUUUUGAGCGAGCAGUAAGGCAUUUGUUGACAAAUUCGGAUUCACAUGGACAUGUACCACAAGUGCUAUGGCAUGUGUGAUUGAUGUAAUCAAUGCAUUCAACUCUAUCCCCACCAGGGAAGACUCCAUGGGCAUUCGGAGCCGAGGCCAUGUGGCACUUGUCAGGUUGGAGAUGUUAGUCACCACGACAUUGUGUCAAGGAUGUACAGGUAAGCAGAGUUAGCAGGAAGAUGGCAGGCUUCUUGGCACCCAUUUGGUUGGAGAUUACAGGCAAUGUUGGAUGGUGAAAGGGGUAUGUAUGUUAAACCCUUGAGCCAAAAGACAGCAUUUUCAUUUGGCUGCUGAGGACUGAGGCACCAAACGCCUUCUAGGUUCUCGAUGAAUCUGAGAAUAUCCAGGGGCUGCCAUAAUCUCAUAGAGUUGGUUGCUAAAGCGAUUAGAAAGAUUGUGCUCGAUUCCACCAGUGUUGAAGUGUUCUGUUCUUGCAAGGAAUAUCAGUUAACAGGUUUCAUAAAAGGCAGCCUUAGCUCAAACAUCAAUGAGAAUAAGAGGUAAGGCUGUGUGUACCACAAGUGCUAUGGCAUGUGUGAUUGAUGUAAUCAAUGCAUUCAACUCUAUCCCCACCAGGGAAGACUCCAUGGGCAUUCGGAGCCGAGGCCAUGUGGCACUUGUCACGUUGGAGAUGUUAGUCACCACGACAUUGUGUCAAGGAUGUACAGGUAAGCAGAGUUAGCAGGAAGAUGGCAGGCUUCUUGGCACCCAUUUGGUUGGAGAUUAAAGGCAAUGUUGGAUGGUGAAAGGGGUAUGUAUGUUAAACCCUUGAGCCAAAAGACAGCAUUUUCAUUUGGCUGCUGAGGACUGAGGCACCAAACGCCUUCUAGGUUCUCGAUGAAUCUGAGAAUAUCCAGGGGCUGCCAUAAUCUCAUAGAGUUGGUUGCUAAAGCGA